CGGAGGAAAAGAAACUAACCAGGAUUCCCCUAGUAGCGGCGAGCGAAGCGGGAGAAGCCCAACAUGAAAAGCCUUCGGGCGUUGUAUUUGGACAUCCCUGAGGCGUCAGUUCAGGAAAGUGGCAUGGAAAUGUCCACCGUGGAGGGUGAAAGUCCCGUCCAUCCUGGACACAGGCGCUCUCGUACCGGGUUGUUUCAGUUGAGUCGGGUAGCUUGGGAAUGCUGCUCUAAUCGGUGGUAAAUCUCAUCGAAGGCUAAAUACUGGUGGUAGACCGAUAGCAAACAAGUACCGUGAGGGAAAGUUGCAAAGCACUUUGAAAAGAGGGUGAAAAGAACCUGAAACUGCUACGGUGAAAGCGGAUUGCAUAGAAUUUCAACUUGUGUGCCGUGUUCAGCUCUUCGGAGUGUACUCACGCACACUGACUCAUCGUGCGUUCUCGGUGGUCGAUUUUGGGCCGCUGGGGACGGAGGUAUCCCUUUUCGGAGGUGAAGGCGAUGGGGUGUCUGUGCGAUUCGACCCGUCUUGAAACACGGACCAAGGAGUGUAUCACAUCUGCGAGUCGUAGGGUUUAAAACCUGAGGGCGCAGUGAAAGCGAGUUUUUUAAAACGAGCAGUUUGAGGCGGCAUACGAUCGUUGAUUGUAGGUCCGACCUGGAGCAGAUGUGGUACGACCCGAAAGAUGGUGAACUAUACCGGAGUAGGGCGAAGCCAGAGGAAACUCUGGUGGAGGCUCGUAGCGGUGCUGACGUGCAAAUCGCUCGUCCGACUUGGGUAUAGGGGCGAAAGACUAAUCGAACCAUCUAGUAGCUGGUUCCCUCCGAAGUUUCUCUCAGGAUAGCGGCCCGACGCGAUGUUGUCAUGUGCGGUAAAGCGAAUGAUUAGCGCAUUUGGGGAAAUUUUUUCUUCAGGCGAUUCUCAAACUUUAAAUGCGCAUGAUGGUACUGCUGCUUUAUUGAGCAGUGCCGUUUCAGAAACGUCGGGUCCGUGGGCCACUUUUGGUAAGCAGAACUGGCGAUACGGGAUGAACCGUAAACGUGGUUAAGGCGCCAAAUUGCACGCUUAGAGAUUCCAAAAAAGGUGUUGAUUCAUCGAGACAGCAGGACGGUGGCCAUGGAAGUCGGAAUCCGCUAAGGAGUGUGUAACAACUCACCUGCCGAAUGAAUUAGCCCUGAAAAUGGAUGGCGCUUAAGCGGGCAGCCGACACCACGUCGUCUGGGCAAAGUGGAUUUCCAGAUGAGUAGGAGGGCGUGGCGGUCGUAUCGAAGCGUAUGUGCAAACGUGCGUGGAACGGCCGCUAGUGCAGAUCUUGGUGGUAGUAGCAAAUAUUCAAGCGAGAUCCUUGAAGGGCGAAGCGGGGAAGGGUUCCACGCGAACAUUGAUUGAGUGUGGGUGAGUCGUUCCUAAGCCGAGUGGUUUCUCUAAUUACCGGCGAAAGGGAAACGGGUUGAAAUUCCCGUACACGGAUGUGGAGGCGGUGACGCACGUCUGGGGCGAUGAAGUUGGCGGUGACUCUGGGCAGAGUUUUCUUUUCUGUUUAACCAAGCUUGUUGUACUGUGUGGAAUCCGCUUGUCGGGAGAAACACGUGCAUCCGGGCAUAGCACCGGGGUUUUACCGGUGUCCAGAUCGUUACCGACAAACCUUGAAAAAUCGUCUGCUGGGCAAAGCUUUUUUAAAGUUUUGUUGGAAAAAUCCACGCCGUAACGUACCGAUAACCGCAUCAGGUCCCCAAGGUGAACAGCCUCUGCUCAAUAUGAUUAAUGCAGGUAAGGGAAGUCGGCAAAUUGGACCCGUAACUUUGGGAAAAGGGUUGGCUCUAGUGCUGCGUGGGAGUGGUUGUUUCGUUUCCGGGGUGUUUGUUUUUGCGGCUUAUGACGAAGAUGGAUUCUUUCUAUUUUUGUUGUUGGCUGUGAGACUGUACAACGGGCGGGAUGGCGCCCACAGCAUGCAGCAGACUAGAACUGCAACGGGCAAAGGGAAUCCGACUGUUUAAUUAAAACAAAGCAUUGCGAAAAGCCGUUGCCGGUGAUGACGCAAU
rnacentral:rRNA from 1 species